rnacentral:rRNA from 1 species
CCCAGACUCCUACGGGAGGCAGCAGUGGGGGAUAUUGCACAAUGGGGGGAACCCUGAUGCAGCGACGCCGCGUGGGUGAAGGAGCGUUUCGGCGCGUAAAGCCCUAUCGGCAGGGAAGAAGGAGGACGGUACCUGACUAUGAAGCCCCGGCUAACUACGUGCCAGCAGCCGCGGUAAUACGUAGGGGGCAAGCGUUAUCCGGAUUUACUGGGUGUAAAGGGGGCGCAGACGGCAGCGCAAGCCAGGAGUGAAAGCCCGGGGCCCAACCCCGGGACUGCUCUUGGAACUGCGCGGCUGGAGUGCAGGAGGGGCAGGCGGAAUUCCUGGUGUAGCGGUGAAAUGCGUAGAUAUCAGGAGGAACACCGGUGGCGAAGGCGGCCUGCUGGACUGCGACUGACGUUGAGGCCCGAAAGCGUGGGGAGCAAACAGGAUUAGAUACCCCUGUAAU